UACGGAGGGGGCUAGCGUUGUUCGGAAUUACUGGGCGUAAAGCGUACGUAGGCGGCUUUGUAAGUUAGAGGUGAAAGCCCGGGGCUCAACUCCGGAAUUGCCUUUAAGACUGCAUCGCUUGAAUCAUGGAGAGGUGAGUGGAAUUCCGAGUGUAGAGGUGAAAUUCGUAGAUAUUCGGAAGAACACCAGUGGCGAAGGCGGCUCACUGGACCGGCAUUGACGCUGAGGUGCGAAAGCGUGGGGAGCAAACAGG
rnacentral:rRNA from 1 species